rnacentral:lncRNA from 1 species
AGGAGAGUGAAGGGCAGGAGCUUCUGUGCCCCACACUCUCACCCUGGCUCUCUGAACUGCGAAAGGAUCUUGGGGAGUCUGUAGAAGAUUGAAAACAUGAGGGUUUCCAGGAAUAAAGGUUCCUGGAAAGAACGCCUCAGGAAUCUCCAGGAGUUGUUGGACGAAAGAGAAAAAUGGAGCAAGGCCGUGACGAUGCAAGAGAGCAGAGGGGAGGCAGAGCAGGUGCCAACCAUGUCAUGGGCUGGAGCAGCUGUCAAGUCUUUAAUGCCCAAGCUCUACAAAAAAAAUUCCUUUCUGGGACUCCAGAGUGAGAAAUCACUUCUUCUCUGAAAUGCUAGCUAUCUUGAAACUCUCCUGCG